rnacentral:lncRNA from 1 species
GUGAUCCUCCCAUCUCAGCCUCCCGAGUAGCUGGGGCUACAGGUCUUUUGCUCCACGUGAUAUUGACUAUGAUCAUCUGGAGGGUCCGUGGUUCCAGUGACUUAGCAUCAAAGACGGCCUAACACACACGUCUGGUGCCUCUGCUGGGAUGGCUGAAGCAGCCGGAGGCUGGCCAGCUACUCAGGAGGCGGAGGCAAAGGAUCGCUUGAACCCAG